CAGAGGGGGCAAGCGUUGUUCGGAAUUACUGGGCGUAAAGGGCGCGUAGGCGGCCCGCUAAGUCGAACGUGAAAUCCCCGGGCUCAACCCGGGAACUGCGUCCGAUACUGGCAGGCUUGAAUCCGGGAGAGGGGUGCGGAAUUCCAGGUGUAGCGGUGAAAUGCGCAGAUAUCUGGAGGAACACCGGUGGCGAAGGCGGCAUCCUGGACCGGCAUUGACGCUGAGGCGCGAAAGCCAGGGGAGCAAACGGGAUUAGAUACCCCGGUAGUCCUGGCCCUAAACGAUGAAUGCUUGGUGUGGCGGGUAUCGAUCCCUGCCGUGCCGAAGCUAACGCAUUAAGCAUUCCGCCUGGGGAGUACGGUCGCAAGGCUG
rnacentral:rRNA from 1 species